AUGGAGGUUCAACAUGAAAUUGUGAGGGUAUAGAAAAUAAAAUGAUAAGUCGGAGGCCCAAAUACACUCAUUGCAAGAGAGGGAAAGAAAAAGUUUAGCAUCACUUCAGAUCAUUUGUUCCUUCCCUGUUCAGUUCAUUCUCAAAUGACCUUGGCCGGAGAACCUAUCUCCGCCACGCCGGAAAUCGCCUCCAGCGGCGCAGAAGGCCAAUAAGAACAAAUCAAACAUCAACAUAAACGUUUUUCCCUCCUCCUUCCUCCUAUCAUAUUCAAUCUUCCUAUAUAUUUACCUAUCAUUCAAACCAAACCAGAACACUUAUGAACCCUAAUUCACUAUUUCGAAAAUUAAAUGAAAUAGAGGAGGAAUCAUAGCCUCUCCUGUUAGGGCUUUGAUUCCUCAAGCCACAAGCUACAUCAUGGUAACAAGAACAAGGAGAAAUGGAAUAAGAAUCAAACGAUCUUACCUACGAGGAUGAGCUUUUCCUCGGUGAGUGUUGAAUUCCAAGCAAAAACAAAAGUGAAGAUGAAGAUGUUGCAAGUUGGGAUUGGCUUCUUGGAGAUCCAAACAUGGCAUGUACAUACCAAGAUGAAUGGAUGCACAUGAGGAUAAAGCUUAGAGCAUUUUUGAAGACUCUUAAUGUAUUUGAUAACUUUGUAAUGUAUUUGCACACUUGAAUGAAGGCUUUUAACUUUGUAACUUGUAAUUUGUAACUUGUUUCUAAGUAAUCCAAUUUACCUAUAUUUUCAAUUUGAA